AAUAGGAGAAUGACAAAUCAUAUUUUUUCUCUUAAUUUUUAGUUUUUUCCUCCAAAAAAAAAUUUAAAUCCAAUUAAAAAUAUUAAAAAUGAGGAGAAAAAAUCUGUUUUGUUAUUCCCUUGUU
rnacentral:pre_miRNA from 1 species